UACGAAGGGGGCUAGCGUUGCUCGGAAUCACUGGGCGUAAAGGGUGCGUAGGCGGGUCUUUAAGUCAGGGGUGAAAUCCUGGAGCUCAACCUCGGAACUGCCUUUGAUACAGCAUAUCUUGAGUCCGAUAGAGGUGGGUGGAAUUCCUAGUGUAGAGGUGAAAUUCGUAGAUAUUAGGAAGAACACCGGUGGCGAAGGCGGCCCACUGGAUCGGUACUGACGCUGAGGUGCGAAAGCGUGGGGAGCAAACAGG
rnacentral:rRNA from 1 species